UGCUGUUCUUAGAGUUCGUUGGAUAUUGUGAUAAUGCUUUCUGGAUUCUUCCUUUUCCAACAGCCCAAGAUCCGCUGAAGUAGUUUAGUGACGGCCUAGAAUUCGGUUACCAUUUCCAAAUUUCGUCGGCCGCCGAAAAGAGUUGACGGAUUGCUUUCUGCACCUAGUAUUCAGUUCUUGUUGAGUUGGUACCGACACUAGCUGUUGUCGUAUGGGGAAAGCAGGGUGGCGGUUCGGGCAGACAGACCUGAAGAAAUAACUUAGGAGUAGGCGUGGUUAAUAUUAAUGUUAUAAUUAAAAAUAGAAUAUGCUUCAAGUGCUCAAAAUCUGUCAGAGCUACUUAUGAAAUAAAGGGAUUGUAUACUUUUUAGUAGAUCUUCACGAUUACGCAUAGGCGUAGAGAAAAACUCUCUGGGAUCGCUAGUAGGUCAAAAACGACUUUGAUCACAUAUUACCAAAUGCUAUUUAUUCUUGGUCGGGUUGCCCACAAGUUCAAAGUUAAUUUGAAAAAAAAAUGUUAGUGCCUACUAAAACAGACUUCCCAUGCCUGGCUGCCCCCCAGUUUUAUACUGAUGCAAUUAGGCUAACAAUCUGGAGGGCAAAAUCUUGGGACAAGCUGUUUCUUUACAUUCCUAACUCUCCACUGUUAACAAAAAUCUGAUUACUGUACACUCGAUUUUGCUUUUUUUUCUGGGCCUCUUGUUUUUUAAAAAUGUUAAAGCAAGUUGGGAAAUUUUCUUGGGGCAGCAUCACACUUUUUUGUAUUUGUAUCACUUUCUUGAUGCUGAAGCACGCUGGGAUGAAAAAUAAAUAUGGCAUCCCUACAUUCUUUUUCUUACAUAGCUUGUUUUAAAAAUGUUGGAAUUAUAAUUUUGUAUUACAUGAUGUUAUUUUCCUAAGCUUUUGUUUCUGGUCUAAAUCCAGUCUGUCCCUUAAUUUAAAAUUGGAUAAGGUGAUGGGAAUUAGGAUCACUAGGAAAUAGCUUCAUGUACAUGAUGUGAAUCUUAAGGUGAAUGUGAAGAAGCUCCUUACUACAAAGCCAUCAGAAGUGAUUGCUCUUUUCAGAGAAGACAGCUCUUAUUAAAACCCACAUUUAUAGUCUUGCAACAAAUGAAUGCAUUGAUUAGCAAGUACAAUCAAUCAAUGAAUGUCUUUUGCCCUUAAUCCCUUGCGGCUGAGCUGAGUUGUAAAUUUGUUGCCUUAGCAGCAUUAAAGCAAGCAAAUUUAUUGUCCUUUCUCUUGGGCAUUGAACUUCAAGAAGGUUGUUGAGACUUUGGAAAGAAAGCUGAGAAAAGCUAUGUGGCUGGAUAUUAUUUACUCUUUCUGUAUUUUGAAAUGGAAUUGCACUCAUUCCUGAAUAAAUAGAUGGCAUGCAUGCAUGCAUGCAUGCAUGCAUGUAUGCAUCUAUCUAUCUAUCUAUCUAUCUAUCUAUCUAUCUAUCUAUCUAUCUAUCUAUCUAUCUAUCUAUCUAUCUAUCUUAGAUUGUGUGCCUAGUAUAUAAAUGAAUCCUAUGAACAUUUCUAAAUUGACAUCCAACAGUAAUUGCUCCUUACUUCCUCACCCUGAAGAGGUGAGAACUCAAGUUCAUUUACUUGGAAGGAAAAUCUGAAAUGUUGAGUUUGAUUAGAUUGCUGCAUUUCUCAAGAAAGAAGAAACAAUGGGGGUCAUUGAAGGUGUUUUAAUUGAGUACACAAUAUAGCAUUUAUCAUAGUGAACUUUUUUUUCAGGUUAAGUUGGCUUAUCAAUUGUUUCAGUUGAGUGCAGUUGCUGAAGUCCAUGUUUCACAAACCUGCCUCUGCACGUAGAUUGCAUCACAUACUUUUUAAGGGCUAAAAUAUUUACUGCAUUACAGUGAGUACAAAUAAUAAACCUGUAUGUAGAAUAUGGCCAUUUUGUUUAUUGGAAAGAAGUAGGAUUCAUCACAAUUUGGUCUCAUUCAGCUUAUGUUUCCACCGAGCUUAUUUAUUUUUAGUUUCUUCCACUGAGAGAGAAAUGGAGAAAAAGAAAAGGCUGGUUGUUUCCACUUUUAAUUUUAAUCUUGUCUAGCUGUCAUUAUAUAGAAGAUAAUAUGUUCUCAACAAAACUUCUACUUCCCUUCAAGAUAUACUAAAUUAUAUAACCCUUUGGGUUUUGUAUUUAGUGUUGUGGAGAAACCCAGCCACCAUCUUAGUUGUUGAAUGAAUCUAGCUAUUAAGUUUUCUUUAUUUGAUUUAUUUAUACAUUGCACAUUAUAUUAAUAAAAACAAUGGUAUGCUAUUAAAGAAAGUUCAACUCAUUUUGUGAUUCAGUAUUUGAAUUACAUUUUUAACAUCCCCCCAUGGCAUAACCAUGGUAGCAGUAAAACACACCUUAGGUAUUUCCUUUCCAGCACUAGUUCUUCUUUUCUUUCUCCUCUUUCAUAAAGAUAUACCUGUUCCCAGCCAAGUUGACUUUUUUCUUCAUAAAACUUAUAUUACAAUGUUUUUCAGCAUCAUUGAUCCACAAAUAUUCAAACCUGUUUCUAUGUAUGCUUACCAUCAGGCAAAGCUCUUUGGCGUCAAAGGCAUUUCCCCGUUAACAUGAAUGAAAGAUAAAAUUGGCAAAGAUUUCUUUCCUUGUUCAUGAAUCCAAAUGAAAUUAGCCUUCUUCCUUUUUCUAAGUUCUUUGCAGCCAUCAGAAAUCUCAAAAGAAGAUUGUGGUUCUUAAUGUGAGAUGUGUUUUGGGGAAGGUUAAAAAAAGUUUUGCAGCAUUUUUAAAACCUUUUCAAAAUUGCAAAUCAGAUAAGAAAGGAAGUAUGCUACUUUGUUUUUUUUUUCUUUUGCCAGAGAGCUGGCAAAACAUUCUUUUUAAAAUGGCAAAUGGUUUUGUGGAUAUCUGAUUCAUCAUUUAGUGAGCUAUUUUUCCUCUUCAGGAUUUAAUGGACACUCUGACAUAGUAGCUCAGCAAAUUGAUGUCUGAGAACUUGUAAAUAACAAUUAAAGUUUUAUAAUUCAUAAUUAUAGUAUGGAUUCUGCAAUUCAGGAUUCAAGAAGUAAGUUUGAGUGCUGUUGCAGAGUUGGACAAGCAAAAGUUAAAGAGGUGAGUUGGUAUCUUUCAGUUCAAAACAAGAGAUGAACAACUUUUUUUUUAUCCUGCCACUUUAGUACAUAUAUAACACACAAAUUGGAAUCAAAGAAACAUUGCAGAUGGUUUGUUUUUUUAAUUUCCUUGCCUUUUUCCAGGGAUUGAAGGAAAGAGACAAAUCAGACUAGUCCAUUCCAUUGAAUACAUUUAUUUAAACUUUAACACUAACUUGCUCUCAAGUUUUAAAUCUCAUUGAACUGUUUUAUUGCAAACUUGUAAUAUCUACUCUGCUGGUAGCCAAAAGACACUACAGUUAGUUGAAAGUCACCAACCUACUUACUCCUGAAAUGAUAGCACAAUUUGAAGAGCUGACUUCCAUAUUUCAUCAAGAGUCCCAUGGAGCCCAGUUUUGAAUGGGCAUAAUAAAGAACCAGAUGUGCAACAAUUACGAAUCAUGAUGAUUCUUUGGGUAAAAUUCAGAGAAGGGUGAAUGUUGAAAGUGCAGACUAAUUCAGGUGUAGUCAAUGCCUACAAUGGUUGUUACUGUUUGUUUUUCUAUCAUAGCUAUACUCCCUGCCAAUUUUCCUGCAACCAAGCAUGCCAGUCCUAAGGUCAAUCCUAGAAUUCAACCUGCUGAACCAAAAGCUCAGCUGAUUCCACAUGCUGUCUUGAAGAUGCCCCACUACUCAACAAAAAAGAGGAAAGUAUUGCAGUCUGAAAGAAGCAUUUCACCUAGCCAAAGGGAGCAUGCAAAGCGCCAUCGGAAGUCUUGUCCUUCAUCCCAGAAAAUGGAUUCUCUGAAAGAAUGGUUUGAUUUUACUUAAGUAGACUGUACCAGCACCCCUCUUGGAGUGAAAGCAGAAUCUUCCAGACCAUUAUAUUGCCCAUUGACAAUUUACUAAGAGUCGCGUGCCCCUGGCUCCCUUAACCAUUCAGAAUUGCUCUUGCCUACAAAGCUUGAACAUAACUUUUGACAUCUUUAAGGAAUCCUUCUCCCCAGACUUAAAGGUCAAUACUGUGGAAAGCCCUCAUUGGGAAAGUGUCCAGAAUGUCUCCAACCAUCAGGACAUGGCGCUUAUACCUAGUGCCUCCAUGCCUGUGUCUACUAUGAAAGGUUCCUCUAUUGCAAGAGCAACAUCUUUGGUUUCCAAAGCAUCGUUACAGAAGAAGAGACACAGCACAAUUUCUAUUUCUCACUUGCCAAGCAGCAGCAUUGGUAGGCUCCAGGGUUGUUCUAAAAUCUUCACAGAUUGUGAAAGCACCAGGAUGUCCAUCUGGCCUCCCUCCAUGGAGAUGACACUAGAAAUUUAUUCUUCCUAGGAAUCAGCAUUCUAUUGUAGGCUUACUCCAUGAAGUUUCUUUCAAGCUGCUACUUGAACAUUUUCUCCCCUGUGGUGCACUGAAGAUAAGUUUUUAAAUGUGUGAACUAAACAAAUAAACUAGGCUGCCAGGACCCUUCUGUAACAUUGUACUGUGAAUAUCCCUAAUAUUGUUUACUGUUGUGACUCAGCAGAAGCUUGCUGUGAGUUGAGUCGGGAUGCAGGAAUAAUGAGC